rnacentral:rRNA from 1 species
GACGAACGCUGGCGGCGUGCUUAACACAUGCAAGUCGAACGGGUCUGCCCUGUUUUUUGCGGGGUGGGUCAGUGGCGAACGGGUGAGUAACACGUGAGUAACCUGCCCCUCACUUCUGGAUAACCGCUUGAAAGGGUGGCUAAUACGGGGUGUUCUGGCUGUGCCGCAUGGUGUGGCUGGGAAAGAUUCACUUUUGUGGUGUUUUGGUGGGUGAUGGGCUCGCGGCCUAUCAGCUUGUUGGUGGGGUGAUGGCCUGCCAAGGCUUUGACGGGUAGCCGGCCUGGGAGGGUGGGCGGUCACACUGGGACUGAGAGACGGCCCAGACUCCUGCGGGAGGCAGCAGGGGGGGGUAUUGCACAAUGGGCGGAAGCCUGAUGCAGCGACGUCGCGUGAGGGAUGGAGGCCUUCGGGUUGUGAACCUCUUUCGCCGGUGAAGAAGGUCCUGCUCUUUGUGGUGGGGUUGACGGUAGCCGGGUUAUGUAGCGCCGGCUAACUACGUG